CUUGGAUAUGGGGAUAUGGUUCCGUCGACUGUUGUUGGAAAGAUAAUUGGCGCGCUUUCAGUAAUUAUAGGAUUUUUACUCUUCUCAUUGAUAAUACCUAUUAUGGCUACAAG
rnacentral:sRNA from 1 species